UUGAUUGGUGCUUGCAUCAUGAUUUACAUUUGAGUGAGUGGCGAACUGGUGAGUAACACGUGGGAAACCUGCCCAGAAGCGGGGGAUAACACCUGGAAACAGAUGCUAAUACCGCAUAACAACUUGGACCGCAUGGUCCGAGCUUGAAAGAUGGCUUCGGCUAUCACUUUUGGAUGGUCCCGCGGCGUAUUAGCUAGAUGGUGGGGUAACGGCUCACCAUGGCAAUGAUACGUAGCCGACCUGAGAGGGUAAUCGGCCACAUUGGGACUGAGACACGGCCCAAACUCCUACGGGAGGCAGCAGUAGGGAAUCUUCCACAAUGGACGAAAGUCUGAUGGAGCAACGCCGCGUGAGUGAAGAAGGGUUUCGGCUCGUAAAACUCUGUUGUUAAAGAAGAACAUAUCUGAGAGUAACUGUUCAGGUAUUGACGGUAUUUAACCAGAAAGCCACGGCUAACUACGUGCCAGCAGCCGCGGUAAUACGUAGGUGGCAAGCGUUGUCCGGAUUUAUUGGGCGUAAAGCGAGCGCAGGCGGUUUUUUAAGUCUGAUGUGAAAGCCUUCGGCUCAACCGAAGAAGUGCAUCGGAAACUGGGAAACUUGAGUGCAGAAGAGGACAGUGGAACUCCAUGUGUAGCGGUGAAAUGCGUAGAUAUAUGGAAGAACACCAGUGGCGAAGGCGGCUGUCUGGUCUGUAACUGACGCUGAGGCUCGAAAGUAUGGGUAGCAAACA
rnacentral:rRNA from 2 species